GACGAACGCUGGCGGCGUGCCUAAUACAUGCAAGUCGAACGCACUCUCGUUUAGAUUGAAGGAGUUUGCUCCUGAUUGAUAAACAUUUGAGUGAGUGGCGGACGGGUGAGUAACACGUGGGUAACCUGCCCUAAAGUGGGGGAUAACAUUUGGAAACAGAUGCUAAUACCGCAUAAAACCUAACACCGCAUGGUGUAGGGUUGAAAGAUGGUUUCGGCUAUCACUUUAGGAUGGACCCGCGGUGCAUUAGUUAGUUGGUGAGGUAAAGGCUCACCAAGACCGUGAUGCAUAGCCGACCUGAGAGGGUAAUCGGCCACACUGGGACUGAGACACGGCCCAGACUCCUACGGGAGGCAGCAGUAGGGAAUCUUCCACAAUGGACGAAAGUCUGAUGGAGCAACGCCGCGUGAGUGAAGAAGGUUUUCGGAUCGUAAAACUCUGUUGUUGGAGAAGAAUGUAUCUGAUAGUAACUGAUCAGGUAGUGACGGUAUCCAACCAGAGAGCCACGGCUAACUACGUG
rnacentral:rRNA from 1 species